UACGUAGGGACCAAGCGUUGUUCGGAUUUACUGGGCGUAAAGGGCGCGUAGGCGGCUUAACAAGUCACUUGUGAAAUCUCCGGGCUUAACUCGGAACGGCCAAGUGAAACUGUCAAGCUAGAGUGCAGAAGGGGCAAUCGGAAUUCUUGGUGUAGCGGUGAAAUGCGUAGAUAUCAAGAGGAACACCUGAGGUGAAGACGGGUCUCUGGGCAGUAACUGACGCUGAGGAGCGAAAGCGUGGGGAGCGAACAGG
rnacentral:rRNA from 1 species